UACGGAGGGUGCGAGCGUUGUCCGGAAUCACUGGGCGUAAAGGGCGCGUAGGCGGCCUGCUAAGUAGGGGGUGAAAUCCUGCGGCUUAACCGCAGGGCUGCCUUCUAAACUGUCAGGCUGGAGCGCAGUAGAGGCAGGUGGAAUUCCCGGUGUAGCGGUGGAAUGCGUAGAGAUCGGGAAGAACAUCAGUGGCGAAGGCGGCCUGCUGGGCUGUUGCUGACGCUGAGGCGCGACAGCGUGGGGAGCAAACAGG
rnacentral:rRNA from 1 species